GUGCAAGCCUUCAUCAUACUUGGGUCUGGAGUGACCCUGUGCUUUCCCAUAGUGCUUGCAAUUAUGAAACGGUUUGAGAUCUUGACCUGCUCCAUACAGAGUAAGGUGUUAGAAAUCUCAGACAAUC